rnacentral:rRNA from 1 species
UACGUAGGGGGCAAGCGUUGUCCGGAAUCAUUGGGCGUAAAGCGCGUGUAGGCGGUCCGGUAAGUCCGCUGUGAAAGUCGGGGGCUCAACCCUCGGAUGCCGGUGGAUACUGUCGGGCUUGAGUACGGAAGAGGCGAGUGGAAUUCCUGGUGUAGCGGUGAAAUGCGUAGAUAUCUGGAGGAACACCGGUGGCGAAGGCGGCGUUCUGGACUGCAUCUGACACUGAAAGACGAAAGCCAGGGGAGCAAACGGG